GCCGGUUCUGCACACGCUGGGAGCUCAUGGAUUAAGAACACAUGGCGAGGGUGGAGUCCCUGCAGACAACUCUGCGACACAGGAGAAGAAUUUAAGCUGCUCUCGAAAGAAAUCAACAACGGCAAAUCAAGAGCCAGCCAAAGUAGACUUCAGUUGAUGGCAACCAAGAAUCGAGAUGGAAACACAAGUAUUUAGGGGUCCCAGUUUUACAGAAGAGGAAACUAAGCUCUAGCAUUCUAAUAUCCCAGGCCUCUUUCCUCCACCCCAAGUUCAUUGCGUCCAGCAGCGCACCCCAGGAAUCCAGAACGCCUCGGUUCUCACUGCCAGCAGUGAUCUCUGGUCGAGUCAACAAGUGUGAGCUUUAUUAAACUCCAUUGCACUUCCCGCCAGAGUCCAGGUGCAGAUGUGAGUGAGUGAGUACAAAUGUCUUUUACGUAUGUAUCUGUAUCCCCAAUGC